rnacentral:lncRNA from 1 species
AAAUAUCGCGGGAUCACAUACGUCGUCCCUGGCUUCCGGCUUUUCUUCGCUCGGUCGUCAAGGUGACAGGUUGCCUGGGAGCCGGAGGUGACCCUGACCUUGGAGAUAGCGGAAGGGAAGCGAAGACUGACUACAUCCAGAGUACAGAAGGCCUUGUCUUUCCUGGGUUUUUCAUAUUUGUACAUAAUUAUUUUGGCCAUUGCCCUCCUCCCGUUCUACUGUUGCCCUCUUUCAUCCUCCAUUUUAUACCUACUGAACCCCAUCUUCCUCAUGUGUGUAUGUGUAUAUAUGUGUGUAUGUAUAUGUAUACAUGUAUAUAUAUAAAAUAUACGUAUAUUAUAUAUCUAUAUUAUAUAUAAUAAAACAUAUAACAAAUAAAAUAA